rfam:Sphingobacterium faecium PCAi_F2.5 genome assembly, contig: Scaffold26
UAUACAGAAGAUAAAAACACGUCCCGGUAGGUAGUCCGGGAGCGACAAAUGUCGUCAGUAACCUGCCUCCUUGGUUGUCCUUUCUUCUGAUUCAAAAC